rnacentral:rRNA from 1 species
AAGUUUGAUCAUGGCUCAGAACGAACGCUGGCGGCAGGCUUAACACAUGCAAGUCGAACGCUCGUAGCAAUACGGGAGUGGCGGACGGGUGAGUAACGCGUGGGAACGUGCCCUGAGGUACGGAAUAACUGAGGGAAACUUCAGCUAAUACCGUAUGAGCCCCGAGAGGGGGAAAGAUUUAUCGCCUUGGGAGCGGCCCGCGUCGGAUUAGCUAGUUGGUGGGGUAACGGCCUACCAAGGCUUCGAUCCGUAGCUGGUCUGAGAGGACGAUCAGCCACACUGGGACUGAGACACGGCCCAGACUCCUACGGGAGGCAGCAGUGGGGAAUCUUGCGCAAUGGGGGCAACCCUGACGCAGCCAUGCCGCGUGAACGAUGAAGGCCUUAGGGUUGUAAAGUUCUUUUACCCGUGACGAUGAUGACGGUAACGGGGAAUAAGCUCCGGCUAACUUCGUG